rnacentral:rRNA from 1 species
CCCGUCACAUCACGAAAGUGGGUUGUACUAGAAGCCUGCACGCCAACUCGCAAGAGGGGCAGCGGUCCAAGGUAUGACUCAUGAUUGGGGUG